rnacentral:sRNA from 1 species
GGAAGACUCCAUGCCCUGGCCCAUUCCUUCGGUACAACUUUGAUGUGACUAAAGGGAAAAUCUUCAUUGAGUGGAUGAAAGGAGCAACUACCAACAUCUGCUACAAUGUACUGGAUCGAAAUGUCCAUGAGAAAAAGCUUGGAGAUAAAGUUGCUUUUUACUGGGAGGGCAAUGAGCCAGGGGAGACCACUCAGAUCACAUACCAUCAGCUUCUGGUCCAAGUGUGUCAGUUCAGCAAUGUUCUCCGAAAGCUUGUGGUGGCCAUGCUGGCAUGUGCCCGCAUUGGGGCUUUGCACUCCAUUGUGUUUGCAGGCUUCUCUUCAGAGUCUCUAUGUGAACGGAUCUUGGAUUCGAGCUG